rnacentral:rRNA from 1 species
AGCAGCCGCGGUAAUUCCAGCUCCAAUAGCGUAUAUUAAAGUUGUUGCAGUUAAAAAGCUCGUAGUUGAAUUUCGGGGUCUGUCCGUCGGUCGGGCUUCACGGUCCGUACUGGUGUGAUGGGUUCCUACCUUCUGAAUAACCGGCAUGCCAUUCAGUUGGUGCGCCGGGGAAGCAGAGCUAUUACCUUGAAAAAAUUGAGUGCUUAAAGCAGGCUAGUGCUUGAAUAGAUUAGCAUGGAAUAAUAAAAUAGGACGGCAUGGUUCUAUUUUGUUGGUUUCUAGGAUCACCGUAAUGAUUAAUAGGGAUAGUUGGGGGCAUUAGUAUUCAAUUGUCAGAGGUGAAAUUCUUGGAUUUAUUGAAGACUAACUACUGCGAAAGCAUUUGCCAAGGAUGUUUUCAUUAAUCAAGAACGAAAGUUAGGGGAUCGAAGACGAUCAGAUACCGUCGUAGUCUUAACCAUAAACUAUGCCGACUAGGGAUCGGAUGAUGUUAAUUUUUAAUGA